UUCUCUCUCUCCCUCCCAUUAUUAUUAUCAUGAAAGCCAAUUAAAAAAAUAAAAAAUCUGACUCAUUCCUCUUCUUCCUCUCUCUUACGAUACCAGCCUCCAAUUCUCUCUUCAAACAACCCAACCACCGCCACCAGCUUACCGGCGAUUCCUUGGCCGCCAUUCUCACCGAUCGACGAAAAUGAAACCAUUUUCUUUUUCCACUCGACGAGAGCUUUCCGUUGGUCCAAUUAGUUUCACGAAAGGAGCAACUUUUCUGUUGACCCUUUUCUUCCUCCGCCGCAGUAAGUUGGGAAGAACCACCGUGUAGGAGCUCCGAUGGCCGCCAUUAACUUCACCUUCUCCAAGGUAUGUAGGUAUGAUUCUGAAGGUAGUGAUGCUUCAAUGUCUGCUUUGAGAUCUGAUUCAAUUCCAUCGUCCAAGAAUGGAAUCAAAUCAGUGUACUCUGAUUGUGUUCAAGUUUCUUACAUAACCUCAAACCUUCAUGGGCUGAGAAGGAAUUCAUUGAGUAGCCUGCAUUCUUUAUAUUUAGAGGAUAUACAUAUGUUCAUUAUUCUCUUUAGGGUAAGGAGUCCUGUGAAAUGAACACUAAAGAGAAGAUAAAAGCUUCUCGUAAGAAGCUAGACGAUGGGAUUGUACUGU